UACGGAGGAUGCAAGCGUUAUCCGGAAUGAUUGGGCGUAAAGCGUCCGCAGGUGGCUAUGUAAGUCUGCUGUUAAAGAGUCUGGCUCAACCAGAUAAAGGCAGUGGAAACUACAUGGCUAGAGUGCGUUCGGGGCAGAGGGAAUUCCUGGUGUAGCGGUGAAAUGCGUAGAGAUCAGGAAGAACACCGGUGGCGAAAGCGUUCUGCUAGACCUGUACUGACACUGAGGGACGAAAGCUAGGGGAGCGAAUGGG
rnacentral:rRNA from 1 species